UUCGGGGAUAGCGGCGGACGGGUUAGUAACGCGUGGGAACGUGCCCUUCACUACGGAAUAGCCUCUGGAAACGGAGAUUAAUGCCGUAUACGCCCUUCGGGGGAAAGAUUUAUCGGUGAAGGAUCGGCCCGCGUCUGAUUAGAUAGUUGGUGGGGUAAUGGCCUACCAAGUCUACGAUCAGUAGCUGGUUUGAGAGGAUGAUCAGCAACACUGGGACUGAGACACGGCCCAGACUCCUACGGGAGGCAGCAGUGGGGAAUCUUAGACAAUGGGCGCAAGCCUGAUCUAGCCAUGCCGCGUGAGUGAUGAAGGUCUUAGGAUCGUAAAGCUCUUUCGCCAGGGAUGAUAAUGACAGUACCUGGUAAAGAAACCCCGGCUAACUCCGUGCCAGCAGCCGCGGUAAUACGGAGGGGGUUAGCGUUGUUCGGAAUUACUGGGCGUAAAGCGCGCGUAGGCGGAUUGGAAAGUUGGGGGUGAAAUCCCGGGGCUCAACCCCGGAACUGCCUCCAAAACUAUCAAUCUAGAGUUCGAGAGAGGUGAGUGGAACUCCGAGUGUAGA
rnacentral:rRNA from 1 species